UACGUAGGGUGCGAGCGUUGUCCGGAAUUAUUGGGCGUAAAGAGCUCGUAGGCGGUCUGUCGCGUCGAUCGUGAAAACUUGGGGGCUUAACCCUGAGCUUGCGGUCGAUACGGGCAUGGACUGGAGUUCGGUAGGGGAGGACUGGAAUUCCUGGUGUAGCGGUGAAAUGCGCAGAUAUCAGGAGGAACACCGGUGGCGAAGGCGGAUCUCUGGGCCAUUACUGACGCUGAGGAGCGAAAGCGUGGGGAGCGAACAGG
rnacentral:rRNA from 1 species